rnacentral:rRNA from 1 species
UACGGGGGGGGGCAAGCGUUGUUCGGAAUUACUGGGCGUAAAGGGCUCGUAGGUGGCCAACUAAGUCAUACGUGAAAUCCCUCAGCUUAACUGGGGAACUGCGUGUGAUACUGGAUGGCUUGGAUUUGGGAGAGGGAUGCGGAAUUCCAGGUGUAGCGGUGAAAUGCGUAGAUAUUCGCAAGAACACCAGUGGCGAAGGCAGAUCUCUGGGCCGUAACUGACGCUGAGGAGCGAAAGCAUGGGGAGCGAACAGG